ACGGCCAGUCAGGCCCUGUGUUCCGAGUUCUAGUCUCCAGGCCCCAAAAGGAGAUUAACUGCUAAGACAACCUUCUCCUUGCCUCCAUUACGGCCAGCCAGGCCCUGCGUUUUCCAGGCCCCAAAAGGAGACUCUUGAAAUAUGAACCCCUUCUGAGGACUGCACUCAGCCAACACGUCUCAGAGGAUACUUGUUGGAA